rnacentral:misc_RNA from 1 species
UCCCGCAACGAGCGCAACCCUCGUCCUAUGUUGCCAGCGAGUCAUGUCGGGGACUCAUAGGAGACUGCCGGGGUCAACUCGGAGGAAGGUGGGGAUGACGUCAAGUCAUCAUGCCCCUUACGUCCUGGGCUGCACACAUGCUACAAUGGCCGGUACAAAGGGCUGCGAUGCCGUGAGGUGGAGCGAAUCCCAAAAAGCCGGUCUCAGUUCGGAUCGGGGUCUGCAACUCGACCCCGUGAAGUCGGAGUCGCUAGUAAUCGCAGAUCAGCAAUGCUGCGGUGAAUACGUUCCCGGGCCUUGUACACACCGCCCGUCACGUCACGAAAGUCGGUAACACCCGAAGCCGGUGGCCCAACCCUUGUGGGGGGAGCCGUCGAAGGUGGGACCGGCGAUUGGGACGAAGUCGUAACAAGGUAGCCGUACCGGAAGGUGCGGCUGGAUCACCUCCUUUCUAAGGAGCGUCUGGCCUUCCCGUCCUGUUGGGGGUGGGGGGGUCCAGGGCCAGGGCCGGCUGUGCAUGCCGGUCUGGUUGCUCAUAGGGUGUGGAACACUGACAAUGAUCGUCUUCUGGUGGUCUGGUGUCUAGUACUC